UACACUGAAAACUGCAUCAGGAUGAUGUUGCUAAUAACUCUGCUUGUAGUGUUGGGUUUUCUGAGUCAGGAGUCUUCUGCCAACAAUUUUUUGACUCAGACUGACAAAUCCAAGACUGUUAGCCUUGGAGGGAUUGUGGCCAUCAGCGCCACAGGGAGUUCAAAUAUUGGUGGCACUCUUUAUUGGUACCUUCAGAAACCUGGACAGGCUCCCAAACUUCUUACAAGCUCUGCAACAACUCUCUUCUCUGGAACUCCGUCUCGAUUCAGAGGCAGUACAUCUGGUUCUGACUACACUCUGACCAUCAGUGGUGUUCAGGCUGAAGAUGUUGGAGAUUACUACUGUCUGGGCUACCAUGGUGGUGGAGUGUUCACACAGUGAUUUAGAGCCGUACAAAAACCUCCUUCAGUUUGACUGAAGUGAAAACGGCCUGCUGCAGGUGCAG